GAUGAAGAACGUAUCGAAAUGCGAUAAGUAAUGUGAAUUGCAGAAUUCAGUGAAUCAUCGAAUCUUUGAACGCAUCUUGCGCUCCUUGGUAUUCUGAGGAGCAUGCCUGUUUGAGUGUCAUUAAAUUCUCAACUACACUGACUUUGAAUUGGUGUGGCUUGGAUUUGGGGGGAAAAUUGUUGUGGGCUUUUUGUAUAGUCUGCUCCCCUGAAAUUGAUUAGCGGUACCUUUGUGGAACUGUCUACAGGUGUGAUAAUUAUCUACAUCUUAGACAUCUGCUGGAAUGCUGCUCUCUAAACCUUACUUGUAUUGACAAUCUUGACCUCAAAUCAGGUAGGACUACCCGCUGAACUUAAGCAUAUCAAUAAGCGGAGGA
rnacentral:misc_RNA from 1 species